CCCUACGGGGCGCCCAGCCGGAAAACUUUCUCAUAUGAGGAAACAGCUUAUAAGGGGACACCGAGUGYCAGCAUCGAUAUAGCGUGAGCGUGUUUUAGAUGUGUAUAGAUACAUCCGUUAAAWASGGCCGGGNAANCC
rnacentral:rRNA from 1 species